rnacentral:pre_miRNA from 1 species
GGCUAUCUGAGUCUAUGCCGAGAUUUUGUCAGACACAAGCCCACCACGGUUGAUGAGACUCCCAAGAUAAGUGAGGCA